rnacentral:rRNA from 1 species
UACGAAGGGGGCUAGCGUUGCUCGGAAUCACUGGGCGUAAAGGGUGCGUAGGCGGGUCUUUACGUCAGGGGUGAAAUCCUGGAGCUCAACUCCAGAACUGCCUUUGAUACUGAGGAUCUUGAGUAUGGGAGAGGUGAGUGGAACUGCGAGUGUAGAGGUGAAAUUCGUAGAUAUUCGCAAGAACACCAGUGGCGAAGGCGGCUCACUGGCCCAUUACUGACGCUGAGGCACGAAAGCGUGGGGAGCAAACAGG